GAUCUGGCUCAGGAUGAACGCUGGCGGCGUGCUUAACACAUGCAAGUCGAACGAAGCACUUGAGAAUGAUUCUUCGGAUGAUUUCUCUUGCGACUUAGUGGCGGACGGGUGAGUAACGCGUGGGUAACCUGCCUCACACAGGGGGAUAACAGUUGGAAACGACCGCUAAUACCGCAUAACCCGCUAGGGCCGCAUGGCCCGGACGGAAAAGAUUUAUCGGUGUGAGAUGGACCCGCGUUGGAUUAG
rnacentral:rRNA from 1 species